rnacentral:rRNA from 1 species
AGAGUUUGAUCCUGGCUCAGAUUGAACGCUGGCGGAAUGCUUUACACAUGCAAGUCGAACGGCAGCACGGACUUCGGUCUGGUGGCGAGUGGCGAACGGGUGAGUAACAUAUCGGAACGUAUCCAAUAAUGGGGGAUAACUAAUCGAAAGGUUGGCUAAUACCGCAUACGCCCUACGGGGGAAAGCUAGGGACCUUCGGGCCUGGCGUUAAUGGAGCGGCCGAUAUCUGAUUAGCUAGUUGGUGAGGUAAAGGCUCACCAAGGCGACGAUCAGUAGCUGGUCUGAGAGGACGACCAGCCACACUGGAACUGAGACACGGUCCAGACUCCUACGGGAGGCAGCAGUGGGGAAUUUUGGACAAUGGGCGCAAGCCUGAUCCAGCCAUUCCGCGUGAGUGAAGAAGGCCUUCGGGUUGUAAAGCUCUUUCGCAAGGGAAGAAAACUUAGUUACUAAUAUUAACUGAGGUUGACGGUACCUUGAUAAGAAGCACCGGCUAACUACGUGCCAGCAGCCGCGGUAAUACGUAGGGUGCGAGCGUUAAUCGGAAUUACUGGGCGUAAAGCGUGCGCAGGCUGUUUUGUAAGUCAGAUGUGAAAUCCCCGAGCUCAACUUGGGAACUGCGUUUGAAACUACAAGACUAGAAUAUGUCAGAGGGGGGUAGAAUUCCACGUGUAGCAGUGAAAUGCGUAGAGAUGUGGAGGAAUAUCAAUGGCGAAAGCAGCCCCCUGGGAUAAUAUUGACGCUCAUGCACGAAAGCGUGGGGAGCAAACAGGAUUAGAUACCCUGGUAGUCCACGCCCU